CCUACGGGCGGCAGCAGUGAGGAAUAUUGGUCAAUGGACGAGAGUCUGAACCAGCCAAGUAGCGUGAAGGAUGACUGCCCUAUGGGUUGUAAACUUCUUUUAUAUGGGAAUAAAACGUUCCACGUGUGGGAUUUUGUAUGUACCAUAUGAAUAAGGAUCGGCUAACUCAGUGCCAGCAGCCGCGGUAAUACGGAGGAUCCGAGCGUUAUCCGGAUUUAUUGGGUUUAAAGGGAGCGUAGGUGGAUUGUUAAGUCAGUUGUGAAAGUUUGCGGCUCAACCGUAAAAUUGCAGUUGAAACUGGCAGUCUUGAGUACAGUAGAGGUGGGCGGAAUUCGUGGUGUAGCGGUGAAAUGCUUAGAUAUCACGAAGAACUCCGAUUGCGAAGGCAGUUCACUGGACUGCAACUGACACUGAGGCUCGAAAGUGUGGGUAUCAAACAGGAUUAGAUACCCCAGUAGUC
rnacentral:rRNA from 1 species